AUGCCAAAGCGUGGGAAAAAGGGAGUGGCGGCAGAAGACGGGGAAGAGCCCCAGCGGGAGCCAGAGACCAAGAAGAGUAAGGUGGGAGCAAAGAAAAGCGGGGAAGAGACGACAGGAGAGGGCGCGGUUCUGUAUGAGGACCCUCCAGCUCAGAAAACCUCGCCCAGUGGCAAAUCCGCUACAAUCAAGAUAUGCUCCUGGAAUGUGGACGGGCUUCGAGCCUGGAUUAAGAAGAAAGGUUUAGAUUGGGUGAAGGAAGAAGCCCCAGACAUCCUGUGCCUCCAAGAGACCAAAUGUUCAGAAAACAAACUACCAGCUGAACUUCAAGAGCUGCCUGGACUUUCUCAUCAGUACUGGUCAGCUCCCUCCGACAAAGGCUAGAGUAGUGUGGGUCUGCUUUCCUGCCAGUGCCCACUCAAAGUGUCCUAUGGCAUUGGUGAGGAAGAGCAUGAGUCAUUUGUGCUGAUUACAGCCUGUGUACCCAAUGCAGGCCGAGGUCUGGUGAGACUGGAGUACCGGCAACGCUGGGAUGAAGUCUUCAGAAAGUUUCUGAAGGGCUUGGCUUCCCGUAAGCUUCUUGUGCUAUGUGGGGACCUCAAUGUGGCUCAUGAAGAAAUUGAUCUUUGUAACCCCAAGGGAAACAAAAAGAACGCUGGCUUCACUCCCCAAGAGCGGCAAGGUUUCCGUGAAUUGCUGCAAGAGGUACCACUGGCCGAAAGCUUUCGGCACCUCUACCCCAACUCUGCCUAUGCUUACGCUUUUUGGACUUACGUGAUGAAUGCUAGGUCUAAGAAUGUCGGCUUGAUUACUUCCUGCUGUCCCACUCUCUCUUACCUGCCUUGUGUGACAGAAAGAUCUGUUCCAAGGCUCUUGGCAAGUGA